CGGACGGGUGAGUAACGCGUGAGAAUUUGCCUUUAGGAGGGGGAUAACAACUGGAAACGGUUGCUAAUACCCCAUAUGCUUUCGAGUGAAAUGGAUUUCCGCCUAAAGAGAAGCUUGCGGCUGAUUAGCUUGUUGGUGAGGUAAUGGCUCACCAAGGCGACGAUCAGUAUCUGGUUUGAGAGGACGAUCAGACACACUGGAACUGAGACACGGUCCAGACUCCUACGGGAGGCAGCAGUGGGGAAUUUUCCGCAAUGGGCGAAAGCCUGACGGAGCAAUACCGCGUGAGGGAUGACGGCCUAUGGGUUGUAAACCUCUUUUUUCAGGGAGGAAUCAAUGACGUGUACCUGAAGAAUAAGCAUCGGCUAACUCCGUGCCAGCAGCCGCGGUAAGACGGAGGAUGCAAGUGUUAUCCGGAAUCACUGGGCGUAAAGCGUCUGUAGGUGGUUUAAUAAGUCAACUGUUAAAUCUUGAGGCUCAACCUCAAAAUCGCAGUCGAAACUAUUAGACUAGAGUAUAGUAGGGGUAAAGGGAAUUUCCAGUGGAGCGGUGAAAUGCGUAGAUAUUGGAAGGAACACCGAUGGCGAAGGCACUUUACUGGGCUAUUACUAACACUCAGAGACGAAAGCUAGGGUAGCAAAUGGGAUUAGAUACCCCAGUAGUC
rnacentral:rRNA from 1 species